rnacentral:tRNA from 1 species
GACGGUAUAGCUCCGUGGUAGAGUGCAUGCUUAGCAUGCACGAGGUUCUGGGUUCAAUCUCCAGUACUGCCA